UGGCUCGGAAUGUCGAGUUCCCGUAUGAUCACUGAAGUUAAGCAACGUCGGGCCUGGUCAGCAACUAGAUGGGUGACCGCUCGGGAAUACUAGGUUCUGAA